ACACUUUGAGACUAAUGGAAACUGCCAUGGGAGUAUGAAACCAACAAAAAUUCUUAAUUCAAGCAAAUUUUAAACAGAGACAAUGAGGUGAGUUACAAUUAGGCCUAGAUAAUGGGUAGCUCUAACCAUGGAAAAUUUAGGCCUAGAUAUAUACUUGUUAGGACUAUUAGAAUUCAACUACUAAAACUAAUUUUUCAGACUUCAUCAUCUACUACUCAAUUCAUGUUGCUUCUUGGUUUUAUCUGUUGGCACAACCUAAAAGAAAAUAGGCACUACUGCAUAUGCUUGUUUUAGACUCGUAGACUUCAAUUACUACAGAAGUUGGUCCUCCUAAUGUUUUUGGAAGUAUAAUGAUACUGUAAACUGAGAAAAAAGGAAUCAAGAUUAAUAAAACCAACCUUAUGCAAUGAAAAGGAAGCUCCUCCAGCAAGAACAGUCACAUCGCUGGGGAUUUCCUGGGAGAAAAUCCUGACAAGUUCAUGGUGCCAUCUCCAUUAAUUAUAUCCAGAAAAGAAAACAAGAUAAUUUAAGAUAAAAACAAGAAGGUAAAGUAAAAAGAAGCCAACCAUCCACUGGUUCUUUUCAU
rnacentral:misc_RNA from 1 species